AUUCUGUCUUCUUCCACAAAAGUAGAAACACAGAACGGACUAGAUUGCCUCAACUCUAAGACACUCUCCAGGAAUUGACGAAACAUGUCUGGUACGUACAAAUGUGUAGUUUUCUUGCUUGUUGCAGCAGUACUGGUAAACGUCGUAUACUCCAAGAAUGAUGACGAUAAUAACGACGGAUAUAUGGAAAGACGCGGAAAAGUAACAAGUUGUCCCCCUAUUGAACCAGAUGACGUCGGCACGUGUUCCAACAAUUAUAGUUGUGACACUGAUGAUGACUGUAAAAGAAAAGAGAAGUGCUGCAUUAACGCGUGCGGCUCUUACACGUGCGUUACGGCUGUUUGAAAUAGUAACUGUUUAAACGAGAUUUGAAAAUAGACAUUGCUUUGACACCAUCUACCAAGUCUACUUCAAUUGAAGCUCCGCCAAUCACCGAUAGUAUUUGACUGUUUGAACCCAUUUUUAGCUGUGAAUCGAUGUAUGAUAUAUCGUAUGGUAUCUACUAGAAUUAUUGACAUGGUAUUGCUGUAUUGUGCUUCACUUUCUUAAAUGCUAUAGUAUGUUCUUUUCAAAUUCUCCAAUACAUAGCAUGUAAUAAAGAAAAUGACUAAACCG